rnacentral:rRNA from 1 species
UAACGGAGAAGUGGGAUGACGUCAAGUCCUCAUGGCCCUUAUAUCCAGGGCUACACACGUGCUACAAUGGCCGGUACAAAGGGUCGCAAUACCGCGAGGUGGAGCUAAUCCCAAAAAGCCGGUCUCAGUUCGGAUUGGAGUCUGCAACUCGACUCCAUGAAGUCGGAAUCGCUAGUAAUCGCGUAUCAGCGUGACCGCGGUGAAUACGUUCCCGGGCCUU